rnacentral:rRNA from 1 species
CCUACGGGAGGCAGCAGUGGGGAAUAUUGGACAAUGGGCGCAAGCCUGAUCCAGCCAUGCCGCGUGAGUGAAGAAGGUCUUCGGAUUGUAAAGCUCUUUCGGCGGGGACGAUGAUGACGGUACCCGCAGAAGAAGCCCCGGCUAACUUCGUGCCAGCAGCCGCGGUAAU